CUACAUCUAAUAGACUUAAACUAAUUCUAAAAAUAUCAAAAAUUUCUGUGCAUCAUACACUAAAAUGUA
rnacentral:tRNA from 1 species